AUUGAACGCUGGCGGCAUGCCUUACACAUGCAAGUCGAACGGCAGCACGGGUGCUUGCACCUGGUGGCGAGUGGCGAACGGGUGAGUAAUACAUCGGAACAUGUCCUGUAGUGGGGGAUAGCCCGGCGAAAGCCGGAUUAAUACCGCAUACGAUCUACGGAUGAAAGCGGGGGACCUUCGGGCCUCGCGCUAUAGGGUUGGCCGAUGGCUGAUUAGCUAGUUGGUGGGGUAAAGGCCACCAAGGCGACGAUCAGUAGCUGGUCUGAGAGGACGACCAGCCACACUGGGACUGAGACACGGCCCAGACUCCUACGGGAGGCAGCAGUGGGGAAUUUUGGACAAUGGGCGAAAGCCUGAUCCAGCAAUGCCGCGUGUGUGAAGAAGGCCUUCGGGUUGUAAAGCACUUUUGUCCGGAAAGAAAUCCUUGGCCCUAAUACGGUCGGGGGAUGACGGUACCGGAAGAAUAAGCACCGGCUAACUACGUG
rnacentral:rRNA from 1 species